rnacentral:lncRNA from 1 species
AUGAUGGACCUUGCUUCUUUUGAUUCUGAAAAUCAAUUCUUUAUCAGUGAUCACCAGGACUUCUGGGUAAAUUGCUCAACCCCUCAGAAGGAUGGUACCCUCAUCCUUAGCCCAACUCUCUUCAUCCAAGGUGGAUGCAGACCACGACCCUUUCACCUGGCCUCACCAAUGCUGCCUAAUGUUCAAGACCAAGGAUUGCCUCUGGUUAAUGGUUCAGUCAGCCCGACCUCUGACCUCACCGAGCAUGAUCCAGUCGACUCUGGAGUUUGGAGUGACCCCCUGGUCUCCUUUUCCAUUCAGGAGCAGGAGCUGGAGGUGGAGGUAGAGGGUAAUGGUGAAAGUUGCGGAUCUGCACUUCGAGUCAAUAUUUAUGAUGACGAAUGGGUCGAUCGCCUUCGGCACUGGCAGAACAGAGUGGCUGCUCACCUUGAAAAAUCAAGGGAAAGUCCUUGUUUGGCCAGCAUUAUUGAACAACUGUGGGAAACUCUGUCUGGUGGUCCAGAAAGGGAGGUGGGGGUCACAUGUGUCACCAAGUCUUUCCAUUCCCUCGUGCUCGGUGAAACUCCUCAAUAUGCGGCCUCGACAUUUCUUGCAGCUAUGCACUUGGCAACUGCCGGCAAGUUGGAAAUUGAAAAGACAAGACUGAACAAUUUUUCUCUCAAGCUGGCAUUGUCUGCUGGACUAUCUCGGGGAUGUGGGAAAAGGCGUUCAAGGUUUGCUGAGACCGGUGACGCAAUGGCUGGAUCGCCCGAUUGUGGCAACACCAUACGAUCAGAGAAGGUUCGGCGAUUGGACCUCUUGAAUGGACCAUCGGCUUCCUGCUCAGAGCUCUGAACUCUGUGCAGUGCCACCCGUGUUGCGAACCGAUACUCCGCCGUGCAUCCAUGGUCACGAUGAACGCUCGAAGAAUGGAGAAGUACGUCUCCAACAAAUGAUAAACCUGUGCACUCUUGUUAUUUAAUCGUGUUUAUUUAAUGAAAUGGGCUUUUGAUGCUACCCGGUAGGUGAUAGUCCUCAGUACGAUGCUGUGCUCGCUUCUCGUACUAAAACUUGUUCAGCGAGUCCAUCGUAGCGUUCUGUGACGUUUCACCCCGAAAGGUCACGUCGUAACAUUUUUCACAUGUGCUGCGCUUUUAGGGGUAAAGAUGCCAUUUGUUAAUUUAUGCAUUGCUGAACAUGCAUCGAGACGAACAAGACAUCGACCAUGUCCUGUUAAAAGGUUUGAUAAUCAUAGUUCAGUGACCCUUUUAAAACAUUUCGUGAUGUCUUGUUAUCACCUCAUUACCUACCUUGGUUUAACCUAUGGCUCUUUCAUGGAAACAGCCGGUUAGCCUUGCGUAAACUAAUAUUGUAUCGUCCGACAUCAUGUGUAGCGUGCCAUCGGCCGACAUCGUGUGUAGCCUGCCAAGGAUGGACUGUCAUUAGGUGGGAGGAGAAGGGGGGAGACGGACGGGAUUCGAUAUUGCACUAGCCAUGAUAUAUUUGCAAGGUAUCGACCGAUCGAUGCCUUACUGAAGGAGAAACACUUCUCCAUUGCAAAGUCAAAGCAAUGGUUCCCUUGCGGUACCAUCACUGGGCCUGUUCGACCAGGCUUGGGCUGCUGUGAGAUCGUCGCACUUUUGGCAAAUGUACAUAUUUUGGAACUACAGGAUAUUCUUUUUUUGUUAUCUUCUAAGAUAUCUGUUGUACUGUUGGUGUAAAAUUGCUGUUAUUGUUCUACAUUGAAUUUAAUAGAAUAUACGGUUAAAAUGAAUUGUUUAAUAUUGGUUCCACAAUGGACAAAGCAAGGAAGGGUUACAAGGAAGAUAUUUUAACAUUAUUUGUUUUAUCAAAGCUGGACAUUACUGUGGGGAGGGGUGGGGUGGGGUGGGGGGGGGUUGUAGCAUUGCAGAGGGGGGUGAGUGUGUGAAUCCAUAUGGUGGAGGAUUGAUUGUGCAGUCGUUCAUAGGACAUACAGUUAAAGGAUUAUUGUUCCUGUUGUCACUCACUUGACUUGCUUAAAAGCUUCACUUUUUUUUUUUUUUACAACUUUUAAUGUUAAUAAAUCUGUUUUGUAACAAACCUAGUUGUUGUUAGAAUAAUUUAAAUGUUGCAGCGGAAACUACAACGGCACUCAGUAGAGCGCAUACCUCUGCUAGGCUGAACAGUUUACAUUUGGUAUCCCACUGAUAGGCCGGAUCUGGAUCCGGACCUGAACCAAAAUCAAAUCGGAUUGUUCUUAUCAUCUACCCAACUCAUCCAUCAGGUUUUGUCAUCUGUCCACAACUUUUAGAAAUAUCAUGCUAUGUAUCAUUUUUGGCCCCAUCGCUCAAUGGUGAAGAAUGACUGAAAUUUAAAAAAUUCUCGCAUCCCGAUCUUAACCAAAAUCGAAUCAAUCUGUCGUUGUCACACACCCACCCUAUCCACAGAAUUUUGUCCGAAUCUUCCCAUAACUUUUUGAUAUAUCCUGCUCACAGAUGGAUGAAAACAUAACCUCCAUCCACCUUUGGUGACCAAGGUAAUUAAGGGGUUAAUUUUUGGACCUCAGGGGGUUUGAAUGUUGUAGGUAAAGCAAACACAGAUGGCGGAGAAGUAGGCACUGAUCCAUCUAGCCUGGGUUCAUACCCGACACAGCUAUAAACUGUCAUCCCAGUGUUUCACAGGCAGGGUGAUUCAUCAUUGUGUGUGCCCGUCCCUCGGAUGGACAUUGAACUGGGAGUCCUGUCUGCCAGCGUUCUCUGGAGGAUGUUAGAUUGUCCAGCAUCCUGAACAAGUUACAAAUUUCUGCUACAGGUGCACUGCAUCAUUGGCACAACUGCACCACCACCCCCACCCCCUCCCCCCCAAAGGAAGUGAUCAGUGAUCCUACUCUUUGAAUGUGCUACAAAUGAAUGAAGAGAAAGAAGCAUCCCUUUCCUAAAUAUGGAUUCUGUGAAAUUGUUCAUUCAUAAAAUUAUCCUGAUGUUCAGUUAAUUUGAAAAGAAAAAGAACAGGCCAUUUUGUCCUGUGAGGGUAGCCAAUCUCAAUGUUUCUCUACUCCCACGACUUUUUAUCGUCUCAAUGAUUCCCAUCUCUUUGUGGGGUUGGCUGGAGAAAGCUUUUGGCCAAUGACCUGUCAGGACGCUGGCAAUAACUCGCAGACUCUUCACAAAAGAUACCGUGGGAUUCUUAAUGUGUAAUUAAUGCUGGCAGACAGGACAUCCAGCUUAACGUCCAUCGGAGGGGCGACACCCUGAAUGCUAAAGCACCAAUCCGAGCUGAGAAACCCCGACGACAAAGAGACCAACCAAUCGCAAUGCUUGUAGUUUAUUAGAGAAUUAGCACGCACCCCCUGCGGUGAGAUUCCUCAUAUUAACAUGGCACAUUCAUGGUG